rnacentral:rRNA from 1 species
UGGGGAAUAUUGCACAAUGGAGGGAACUCUGAUGCAGCGACGCCGCGUGAGUGAUGAAGGAAUUCGUUUCGUAAAACUCUGUUCUAUGGGAAGAAAAGGACUGUACCAUAGGAGAAAGCUCCGGCUAAAUACGUGCCAGCAGCCGCGGUAAUACGUAUGGAGCGAGCGUUGUCCGGAAUUAUUGGGCGUAAAGGGUGCGCAGGCGGCUUUACAAGUUGGAUGUGAGAUAUUGUGGCUCAACCACAAACGUGCAUCCAAAACUGCAAAGCUUGAGUUAAGGAGAGGUAAGUGGAAUUCCUGGUGUAGCGGUGGAAUGCGUAGAUAUCAGGAGGAAUACCGGUGGCGAAGGCGACUUACUGGACUUAAACUGACGCUCAGGCACGAAAGCGUGGGGAGCAAACAGG